GCUGUACGCCAAACGGGAAAACCAGAGUCCAGGGCAAAGGGUCUUCCUCGACAAACCAGAGCCAGGGGCGCUUGCGUCUGCGAUUCUGCUUUGCUUGGUGGCCAGAGCUCAUGCCCCCUGAGCAGAAAGAUGUGAGCAGGCUGCCCUAGAACUGAGCGAUUCAGAGGGAGGUUCUGAACUGCCAAAGGAAAACCAACUUUGUUCUUAAGCCACCACACGUCUGAAGGAUGCUUGUGCAGGGAAGGGUGACAGGUUCUUUUCCAUCUGCACCGGAACUGAGGCAGGAGCCAUGAACCCCAGCUGUGGCUCGUGGGAUCUGGGGUAGACAUGAGGAGAGUUUUCCAGACGGAGGAAUGUUCGGCCGUGGAAUAUGUCGCGGAGAGAGGAUGUUGGAACAUUGCUGAAGAGUGAAUGUGUCUGGCUGGUUACGUGUGGUGAGGCGCUCAAGUCUGGAUUCUCGGGAACCCCCAGCUGGCCAGAAUUUCAUCCCCUUCCAUGUGUGUUUUCAGUGGCCAGGCUGAUCUUCCACAGGAGGGUGAUGUCAGCAAACCCAGGAAGCGCUCCGGGCCAGGAAGGCCUCAGACGCAGGAGGAUGCAGUUACGGGUCUCCUGGCGGAGUGCUCUGUCCACCGGAUGUGACAGGAAAAGGCUCAGAGACAUACCAGGACGGGCUGCCCGGGGGCUACCGGCCACUCCAGUCCAGGAACUCAGCUUCUCAAAAACAAAGUUGGAGGGAAAAGACUACAGGUUUGCUGAGAUGCUUUGAGGGCACAAGCUGAACAAAAACCAGUCACCAUUCCUCUGCCCAAAGCAAGCUGAACCAAAAGAAAAUAAAUCAGAUGUCCUGGGAUGGCACCGGUGGCCUGAACCACCCACUCGUAACUGUCCUGUCAGGAGCUUGUGCCAAAGACCAGCAGCCAGCUUUCUCCAUAUUCACCCCUGGACCCCCGCCAGCCAGCCCUGGCACAGUCUACACACUGAGCGUGGACACGCAAAGCGUCCUAGACGUCGCCCACCUUCCUCCCUCUGCACCCUCCCUCCUUUCUUCCUCAUCACUGUCACCAUUACCAACGUAUCUACACGACUCAGACGUAGGUGACCUGACCUCAGAGUGCUCACAAACACCCCUUCCCUUAUGGGUGAUGUGCUCUAAAGGAGCUGUCAAGUUUACAGGUAGAAAAGUUAUUUCAGUAACUGUAGACAGUUGUUUUCAUACAUAGAAUGUGUCAGCAUAGCUUUUAUGUCAUUGACACGGUGUCAUAUAUAAAAAGGAAGGAACUAGUUAGAUUAGUAUCGUUACCCAAAUUCAUAACUGGUAGUGUUGAAUGAGGUACCCUGCACGUG
rnacentral:lncRNA from 1 species